CUCUAACAUUCUAUGAUGAUUCUUUCCUCCAAAGAAUUCCACUAGCAAUACAGAGUAAAGACAUAGCACAUAUGUACAAAACUUACUCCGUUUAUAUUAAAUUCCACAUUCCUGCAGGGGUAUGUAAUGUCUGUUGCCCUUCAGUCGACUCCCUACUCCAAUGUUUGUUUACAAUCAUCAGAGCAUGGACAGCUAUUUUUAAACCUGGCUUUUCAUGUAAGAAGGUUAAAACUCAAACUGAAUUUGAUUUGUUGGAGAAUUCAAAUCCUCAGGAUUAUGGCAGGAAAAAAGAGAAACGCAAGUGGGUUUAAAAUGUCUUCUUCAGCAGCCAGCUGCCAUGGAGAUUUGAAAACAGAUGACCUGGCCAAGAGAUCUUAUCAAAAGAUCUUUAAUGAAGGUUCCUUUCUUGAAUGCCAAGCAUAGGAGGCGAGUAUAAAGUGGGCAUUUCCAAAUGUUAAAGAAAGCCACAGACAUCCCAAGGCACUUAGAUUUCUCAAUCAGUCCCUUCUUUGUCAAUGCCAAAGGUCACCCUGCAAAAAGUACCUGAUGACAGACACUAUUUUUCUGUGACUAAGGGCUUUUGCAGACACAUAUUUUCCUCAUCUCCUUUCCAAAGAAUUUUCUUAAGUUAAUGGUUAACAUAUUUCUUCUUAAAUCAUAUACAAAAUGGUGAAAUUACAUUAUCUUCAAAAUGUUUGUCACGAUUACAACUUACAGUGGGGGCCUAUAUCUGGUGCAGCAGCCUGGAUGCCAUUUGGCCUGCCUGCAUCCUAUAUUAUAAUGCCUAAGUUUGAGUCCCAAUGAUGCUUCUGAUUCCAGCUUCCCACUGUUGCGCACUCUGUGAGGGCAGCAGAUGAUGUUCAAGUACUUGGAACCUUUCUACCCACUCUGGAGACUCAAAUUGAGUUCCAAGAUCCUGGCUUUGCCCUGGUCCAGACCCAGUUGUUGCAGACAUUUGGAAAGUGCAUCAGUGGAUAGAAGAUCUCUCUCUCUCUCUGUGUGUCUUUCUGCCUUUCAAAUAAGAUGACUACAGAUAAAUUUUAAAAAUGCUUUGAAACUUGUGGUGGAUUAUUUAUUUGAUUUAAAGUCUGCUGUUAAUUAGGUCUGUGGUUGUCUAACUUUUCUGUAGGUUGGCAGCACUGGGGAGUUUCAAAAAAAUCUCCCUGCCUCUGUGCAACUCCCAUAAAUUGUGACUGAAAUGGUCUAGGGGUGGCCUGGUCUCUAGAAAUUGUUAAAGACCCCCCAGAUGAUUCUAAUGUGCAAGAAAGUUCAAGAACCUCAUUAAAUAUUAGUCUCAUCAUUAAUUAAUCCAGCAACCCUUGGGAGAGAGGAGUUUCACCUUCCCUAGCCAACCUAGACUUACUUCCUUUGUAGUUCCUCAAAGCUUCAGAAGGAAAAGAGAGAGAACAAUGAAACAUUAUUG
rnacentral:lncRNA from 1 species